rnacentral:rRNA from 1 species
GGCAUUUCAUAAACAACCAGGAUGUUGGCUCAGAAGCAGCCACCAUUUAAAGAGUGCGUAAUAGCUCACUGGUCGAGAGACGCUGCGCCGAAAAUGUCCGGGGCUCAAGCACGGAACCGAAGCUAUGGCAUUGCGUAAGCAAUGGGUAGGGGAGCGUUCUUAUGGGGAAGAAGCAUUACCGUAAGGAGAUGUGGACACAUAAGAAGUGAGAAUGCCGGUAUGAGUAUCGAAAAGAAAGGUGAGAAUCCUUUCCACCGAAAGCCCGAGGGUUCCUGAGCAACGAUCGUCGUCUCAGGGUAAGUCGGGACCUAAGCCGAGGCACAGACGCAUAGGCGAUGGACAACAGGUUGAAAUUCCUGUACCGGAUGGAGUCAUUUGAGCAAUGGAGUGACGCAGGAGGGCACAUGAUCGCGCGACUGGAAGAGCGCGUCCAAGUGCGUAUGUUGAAUCGGAGGCAAAUCCCCGAUUCUGAAAGCAGAGACAUGAUGGGGAGUUAUAAGCGAUUAUGACGAACUCAUGGAUCCCACACUGCCAAGAAAAACUUCUAGCGAGACGAAAUCCGCCCGUACCGUAAACCGACACAGGUAGGCGGGGAGAGAAUCCUAAGGUGCGCGGGAAAACCCUCGUUAAGGAACUCGGCAAAUUGCAUCCGUAACUUCGGGAGAAGGAUGGCCCUGAGUAGGCGAAGUGCAGAAACGCACGGAACAGAAAAGGGUGGCAGAAAAGAGGCCCAAGCAACUGUUUACCAAAAACACAGGUGCCUGCGAAAGCGAAAGCUGAAGUAUAGGUGCUGACGCCUGCCCGGUGCUGGAAGGUUAAGGAGAGAGGUUAGCGCAAGCGAAGCUUUGAACUGAAGCCCCAGUGAACGGCGGCCGUAACUAUAACGGUCCUAAGGUAGCGAAAUUCCUUGUCGGGUAAGUUCCGACCCGCAUGAAAGGCGUAAUGAUUUGGGCGCUGUCUCAACGAGGGGCCCGGUGAAAUUGAAAUACCUGUGAAGAUGCAGGUUACCCGCGACUGGACAGAAAGACCCCAUGGAGCUUUACUGCAGCUUGAGAUUGAAUCCCGGUGGCAGACGCACAGGAUAGGUGGGAGGCUUUGAGAUAGUGACUUUGGUUGCUAUGGAGCCGACGUUGGGAUACCACCCUUCUGUUGCUGGGAUUCUAACGCGAAGAUUAACAACCUUGCGGACCAUCUCAGGUAGGCGGUUUGACUGGGGCGGUCGCCUCCGAAAGAGUAACGGAGGCGCCCAAAGGUUCCCUCAGGCCGGACAGAAACCGGCCGAAGAGUGCAAAGGCAGAAGGGAGCUUGACUGCGAGACAGACAAGUCGAGCAGAGACGAAAGUCGGGCUUAGUGAUCCGGUGGUACUGCGUGGAAAGGCCAUCGCUCAACGGAUAAAAGCUACCCUGGGGAUAACAGGCUAAUCUCUCCCAAGAGUUCAUAUCGACGGGGAGGUUUGGCACCUCGAUGUCGGCUCAUCACAUCCUGGAGCUGGAGUAGGUUCCAAGGGUUGGGCUGUUCGCCCAUUAAAGUGGUACGCGAGCUGGGUUCAAAACGUCGUGAGACAGUUUGGUUCAUAUCCAUCGCGGGCGCAAGAAGUUUGAGGGAGGCUGCUCCUAGUACGAGAGGACCGGAGUGGACGGAUCAACGGUGUACCAGUUGUCACGCCAGUGGCACGGCUGGAAAGCCGCAUCCGGAAAGGAUAAACGCUGAAAGCAUCUAAGCGUGAAGCCCGUCCCAAGAUGAGACUUCUCAUCAGCAAUGAGUAAGACCCCUUAAAGACGAUGAGGUUGAUAGGCUGUGAGUGGAAGAGCCGCGAGGCUUGGAGCGACGCAGUACUAAUAGGUCGAGGUCUUAACUUA